CAGUGUUUGAUUGUCAUGUUACUCUUCCACAAGACCCGGCAUUGAAUCUCACAACCCGAAUAUUUCGGUGCUUGUUAUUUCAAAAGUGCUGAUAACUCUGUCGCCAUUGAACCUUGCGAUUGAGCUGUAUCUUCAAAAGGAAGAUACGACCUCUCUCCUUCAAUUGACUAAAUAACCCCACCAUUAAUUUAAUCACCAUCAACUUCAUCUACUCCAAUUCUGAAGCAUCCAUUUCGCAAAACAACAAACGAUUUCAAAAUCGACGGUCAUAUUUGGGGAAUUCGGUGCUAUGCCUUGGUCGAUAAUAGAAUGUUCGUACCGUGUUCAUCCUUUGAAGAUCUAGUAGGGCGGCGUCUGUCGGCGUUAAAUUAUGCAGCCAAUUGAAGAUCCGGUCGCGUUCGCUGUUUAUUUGGAGGUUGAUUCCAAUUGCACCUGCACCGGGUAUCGCCUACGACUCAUGGCUGAGCACAAUCAAAUGCAGAAGAGAAAUAGAUGAUAGGCAAACAUACCACAGCUAGCAGAAAUCGAUAACCGGCUCGGAUUUAACUUCGGUGGAAGAUCUUCCUCCUGUGGGGAAUCGUCGCAGGCUGCAGCGUGGAUGGAAGAAUGAUAAUUUCGAGUUCAACUUAUGAAUUUGAGUAAUAGCGAAAAGGGGAGGCCCAAAAUGAUUAUUUCGCAAUUCAUUUUACCUUCAAAUUGAUCUUAAUUCUUGGAAUUAGUUACUAGAUUCUUGACUGCGGACUCUUUUAUCGUCAAUUUUGGCAUAUGCUUCAUUUGUAUUAUUGUUUGAGUCGUCAUUUUUUUGAAUAUCUUUUGGCUUUCCUCGAAGCUGAUUGCGUAUGUUGUCAUUGCAGAUUGAUAAGAUCCGAGGUGGUGUUCUGGUCGGGACGGGAAUGGGUGAUCUUCAAGUAUUCUCUGAUGGUGUCCAGGCUCUAAUAGAGAAAGGCCACAGGAAAAUAACUCCGUUUUUCAUACCUUAUGCUAUAACAAACAUGGCCUCUGCUUUGGGGCGCACCAAAUAGGGUUACGAGGGCAAUCCUAGAUUUAUGAUUAAUUAAUGAGGUUAUUUUUGGGAAUGUAUAUUUAUAUCACACAUUUGAGUGUGCCACACCAAACAGAAGAAUUACUAACAUCAGCUUCGUAUAUUGACAA